rnacentral:rRNA from 1 species
CAGCCGCCGCGGGAACACGGAGGGGGCUAGCGUUGUUCGGAAUUACUGGGCGUAGAGCGCACGUAGGCGGCUUGGUAAGUUAGAGGUGAAAGCCCGGAGCUCAACUCCGGAAUUGCCUUUAAGACUGCCGAGCUAGUAGGUGAGAGAGGUAAGUGGAAUUCCGAGUGUAGAGGUGAAAUUCGUAGAUAUUCGGAAGAACACCAGUGGCGAAGGCGGCUUACUGGCUCAUUCUAGACGCUGAGGUGCGAAAGCGUGGGGAGCAAACAGGAUUAGAUACCCCCGUAGUCCCUGUCUCUUAUAC